AUGCAGUCGUACAGGGUACCGGAGCUUGCUUGGGGUGGAUCAGUGGCGAACGGGUGAGUAACACGUGAGCAACCUGCCCCAGACUCCGGAAUAAGCGCUGGAAACGGCGUCUAAUACUGGAUAUGAGAUCAGUCCGCAUGGGCAUGGUCUGGAAAGUUUUUCGGUCUGGGAUGGGCUCGCGGCCUAUCAGCUUGUUGGUGAGGUAAUGGCUCACCAAGGCGACGACGGGUAGCCGGCCUGAGAGGGCGACCGGCCACACUGGGACUGAGACACGGCCCAGACUCCUACGGGAGGCAGCAGUGGGGAAUAUUGNCMCAAUGGGCGANAAGCCUGAUGCANGCGACGNCCSCKURAGGGAUGACGGCCNUUCGGGUUGUAAACCUCNUUUCAGCAGGGAAGAAGCNGCAAGUGANCGGUACCUGCAGNAAGAAGCACCNGGCUAACUACGUGNCCAGCAGNCCGCGGUAAUACGUAGGGUGCGAGCGUUGUCCGGAAUUAUUGGGCGUAAARGGCUUGUAGGCGGUUUGUCGCGUCUGCUGUGAAAAUCCGAGGCUCAACCUNCGGACUUGCAGUGGGUACGGGCAGACUAGAGUGUGGUAGGGGAGACUGGAAUUCCUGGUGUAGCGGUGAAAUGCGCAGAUAUCAGGAGGAACACCGAUGGCGAAGGCAGGUCUCUGGGCCACUACUGACGCUGAGAAGCGAAAGCAUGGGGAGCGAACAGGAUUAGAUACCCUGGUAGUCCAUGCCGUAAACGUUGGGCGCUAGGUGUGGGACUCAUUCCACGAGUUCCGUGCCGCAGCUAACGCAUUAAGCGCCCCGCCUGGGGAGUACGGCCGCAAGGCUAAAACUCAAAGGAAUUGACNGGGGGCCCGCACAAGCGGCGGAGCAUGCGGAUUAAUUCGAUGCAACGCGNAARAACCUUACCAAGGCUUGACAUAUACCNGGUAACACCCAGNAGAUGGGUGCCCCUUNUUUGGUCGGKAUANCAGGUGGNUGCAUGGNUUGUNCGUCAGCUCSUNGYCGUGAGAUGUUNNGGGUUAAGUNCCCGCAACNGAGCNGCAACCCNUCGNUUCUAUGUNUGCCAGCANCGNUAAUGGUGGGGACUCAUGGAAGACUGCCGGGGUCAACUCGGAGGAAGGUGGGGAUGACGUCAAAUCAUCAUGCCCCUUAUGUCUUGGGCUUCACGCAUGCUACAAUGGCCGGUACAAUGGGCUGCGAAACCGCAAGGUGGAGCGAAUCCCAAAAAACCGGUCUCAGUUCGGAUUGGGGUCUGCAACUCGACCCCAUGAAGUCGGAGUCGCUAGUAAUCGCAGAUCAGCAACGCUGCGGUGAAUACGUUCCCGGGCCUUGUACACACCGCCCGUCAAGUCACGAAAGUCGGUAACACCCGAAGCC
rnacentral:rRNA from 1 species